CUGGCGGCAGGCCUAACACAUGCAAGUCGAGCGGUAGAGAGAAGCUUGCUUCUCUUGAGAGCGGCGGACGGGUGAGUAAUGCCUAGGAAUCUGCCUGGUAGUGGGGGAUAACGUUCGGAAACGGACGCUAAUACCGCAUACGUCCUACGGGAGAAAGCAGGGGACCUUCGGGCCUUGCGCUAUCAGAUGAGCCUAGGUCGGAUUAGCUAGUUGGUGAGGUAAUGGCUCACCAAGGCGACGAUCCGUAACUGGUCUGAGAGGAUGAUCAGUCACACUGGAACUGAGGCACGGUCCAGGCUCCUACGGGAGGCAGCAGUGGGGAAUAUUGGACAAUGGGCGAAAGCCUGAUCCAGCCAUGCCGCGUGUGUGAAGAAGGUCUUCGGAUUGUAAAGCACUUUAAGUUGGGAGGAAGGGUUGUAGAUUAAUACUCUGCAAUUUUGACGUUACCGACAGAAUAAGCACCGGCUAACUCUGUGCCAGCAGCCGCGGUAAUACAGAGGGUGCAAGCGUUAAUCGGAAUUACUGGGCGUAAAGCGCGCGUAGGUGGUUUGUUAAGUUGGAUGUGAAAUCCCCGGGCUCAACCUGGGAACUGCAUUCAAAACUGACUGACUAGAGUAUGGUAGAGGGUGGUGGAAUUUCCUGUGUAGCGGUGAAAUGCGUAGAUAUAGGAAGGAACACCAGUGGCGAAGGCGACCACCUGGACUAAUACUGACACUGAGGUGCGAAAGCGUGG
rnacentral:rRNA from 1 species